UGGGGAAUAUUGCACAAUGGGGGAGGACCCUGAUGCAGCAACGCCGCGUGAAGGAAGACGGUUUUCGGAUUGUAAACUUCUAUCAAUAGGGACGAAAGAGAUGACGGUACCUAAAUAAGAAGCCCCGGCUAACUACGUGCCAGCAGCCGCGGUAAUACGUAGGGGGCAAGCGUUAUCCGGAAUUACUGGGUGUAAAGGGUGAGUAGGCGGCACUGUAAGUAAGAUGUGAAAGCCUUAGGCUUAACCUGAGGAUUGCAUUAUAAACUGCAGAGCUAGAGUACAGGAGAGGAAAGCGGAAUUCCUAGUGUAGCGGUGAAAUGCGUAGAUAUUAGGAAGAACACCAGUGGCGAAGGCGGCUUUCUGGACUGGAAACUGACGCUGAGGCACGAAAGCGUGGGGAGCGAACAGGAUUAGAUACCC
rnacentral:rRNA from 1 species